GGGGAUUUGGCUCAGUGGUAGAGCACUUGCCUAGCAAGCGCAAGGCCCUGGGUUCAGUUCCCAGCUCCG
rnacentral:tRNA from 1 species